rnacentral:rRNA from 1 species
GACGAACGCUGGCGGCGUGCUUAACACAUGCAAGUCGAACGGGUGCUCAGGGCUUGCUCUGGGUGUUAGUGGCGAACGGGUGAGUAACACGUGAGUAACCUGCCCCCUUCUUUGGGAUAACGUCGGGAAAUCGGCGCUAAUACUGGAUAUUCUGGCUUCACUGCAUGGUGGGGUUGGGAAAGGUUUUUCUGGUGGGGGAUGGGCUCGCGGCCUAUCAGCUUGUUGGUGGGGUGAUGGCCUACCAAGGCGGUGACGGGUAGCCGGCCUGAGAGGGUGUCCGGCCACACUGGGACUGAGACACGGCCCAGACUCCUACGGGAGGCAGCAGUGGGGAAUAUUGCACAAUGGGCGGAAGCCUGAUGCAGCGACGCCGCGUGAGGGAUGACGGCCUUCGGGUUGUAAACCUCUUUCAGUAGGGAACAAGGCUUUCGGGUUGAGGGUACCUGCAGAAGAAGCGCCGGCUAACUACGUGCCAGCAGCCGCGGUAAUACGUAGGGCGCGAGCGUUGUCCGGAAUUAUUGGGCGUAAAGAGCUCGUAGGCGGUUUGUCGCGUCUGCCGUGAAAUUCCAGGGCUUAACCCUGGUCGUGCGGUGGGUACGGGCAGACUAGAGUGCAGUAGGGGAGACUGGAAUUCCUGGUGUAGCGGUAAAAUGCGCAGAUAUCAGGAGGAACACCGGUGGCGAAGGCGGGUCUCUGGGCUGUUACUGACGCUGAGGAGCGAAAGCAUGGGGAGCGAACAGGAUUAGAUACCCUGGUAGUCCAUGCCGUAAACGUUGGGAACUAGGUGUGGGGUCCAUUCCACGGAUUCUGUGCCGGAGCUAACGCAUUAAGUUCCCCGCCUGGGGAGUACGGCCGCAAGGCUAAAACUCAAAGGAAUUGACGGGGGCCCGCACAAGCGGCGGAGCAUGCGGAUUAAUUCGAUGCAACGCGAAGAACCUUACCAAGGCUUGACAUGGACUUGAUGAACUCAGAGAUGGGUUUUCCGUAAGGCGGGUUCACAGGUGGUGCAUGGUUGUCGUCAGCUCGUGUCGUGAGAUGUUGGGUUAAGUCCCGCAACGAGCGCAACCCUUGUCUUGUGUUGCCAGCGGGUUAUGCCGGGGACUCAUGAGAGACUGCCGGGGUCAACUCGGAGGAAGGUGGGGAUGACGUCAAAUCAUCAUGCCCCUUAUGUCUUGGGCUUCACGCAUGCUACAAUGGCCGGUACAGAGGGCUGCGAUCCCGUGAGGGGGAGCGAAUCCCUAAAAGCCGGUCUCAGUUCGGAUUGGGGUCUGCAACUCGACCCCAUGAAGUCGGAGUCGCUAGUAAUCGCAGAUCAGCAACGCUGCGGUGAAUACGUUCUCGGGCCUUGUACACACCGCCCGUCACGUCACGAAAGUCGGUAACACCCGAAGCCCAUGGCCUAACCGGCUUGUCCGGGGGGAGUGGUCGAAGGUGGGACUGGUGAUUGGGACG